rnacentral:rRNA from 1 species
AACAAACGCUGGCGGCGUGCCUAAUACAUGCAAGUCGAACGGGGUAGCAAUACCUAGUGACGCACGGGUGAGUAACGCGUGGAUAAUCUGCCUUAGAGUGGGGGAUAACUAGUCGAAAGAUUAGCUAAUACCGCAUAAGACCACAAGAGCUGCGGCUCAAGGGGUCAAAGGUUUUUCGCUCUAAGAUGAGUCCGCGUAAGAUUAGCUAGUUGGUGAGGUAAUGGCUCACCAAGGCGACGAUCUUUAACUGGUCUGAGAGGAUGAUCAGUCACACUGGAACUGAGACACGGUCCAGACUCCUACGGGAGGCAGCAGUAGGGAAUAUUGCACAAUGGAGGAAACUCUGAUGCAGCGACGCCGCGUGAGUGAUGAAGGCCUUCGGGUCGUAAAGCUCUGUCGCAGGGGAAUAACACAAUGAAUGUACCCUGUAAGAAAGAAUCGGCUAACUUCGUG